rnacentral:rRNA from 1 species
AUUGAACGCUGGCGGCAGGCCUAACACAUGCAAGUCGAGCGGAGCGGCGGACGGGUGAGUAAUGCCUAGGAAUCUGCCUGGUAGUGGGGGAUAACGUCCGGAAACGGGCGCUAAUACCGUAUACUAGCAGAUGAGCCUAGGUCGGAUUAGCUAGUUGUUGGGGUAAAGGCCUACCAAGGCGACGACCCGUAACUGGUCUGAGAGUAUGAUCAGUUACACUGUAACUGAGAGACGGUCUAGACUCAUACGGUAGGCAGCAGUGGGGAAUAUUGGGCAAUGGGCGAAAGCCUGAUCCAGCCAUGCCGCGUGUGUGAAGAAGGUCUCCGGAUUGUAAAGCACUUAAAGUUAGGAGGCGUUACCAACAGAAUAAGCACCGGCUAACUUCGUGCCAGCAGCCGCGGUAAUAC